AUUGAACGCUGGCGGCGUGCUUAACACAUGCAAGUCGUGCGGUAACAGGCGUAGCAAUACGUGCUGACGAGCGGCGAACGGGUGCGUAAUACAUGGGAAUCUGCCUUUUAGUGGGGAAUAACCCGGCGAAAGCCGGGCUAAUGCCGCAUAAGAUCUUCGGAUGAAAGCGGGGGAUCGUAAGACCUCGCGCUGAUAGAUGAGCCCAUGCCGGAUUAGCAGUUGGUGAGGUAACGGCUCACCAAGGCGACGAUCCGUAGCUGGUCUGAGAGGACGGCCAGCCACACUGGGACUGAGACACGGCCCAGACUCCUACGGGAGGCAGCAGUAAGGAAUAUUGCGCAAUGGGCGAAAGCCU
rnacentral:rRNA from 1 species